rnacentral:rRNA from 1 species
UACGGGGGGGGGCAAGCGUUGUUCGGAAUUACUGGGCGUAAAGGGCUCGUAGGCGGCCAACUAAGUCAGACGUGAAAUCCCCUCGGCUUAACCGGGGAACUGCGUCUGAUACUGGAUGGCUUGAGUUUGGGAGAGGGAUGGCGGAAUUCCAGGUGUAGCGGUGAAAUGCGUAGAUAUCUGGAGGAACACCGGUGGCGAAGGCGGCAUCCUGGACCAACACUGACGCUGAGUGAGCGAAAGCCAGGGGAGCAAACGGGG